CUGAAAUCUAACUGCGCAGCUCUGCUCAGCAGCUCAUUGUGCUCUAGAACCUUCUGAGAACAUCGAUACUGCUGUGCGCUUUUGAUUGUGUUGGUUACCCCGUGACAAGUCGACAGUAUG